UAUAUAUUUCUCAGCAGUGACCUGGGUCUUAGAAAAAUUCACUCUUUGGACAAAGUAGUCCUAGAAAGUCAAGGGGGAGGGAGUCAUUUGCUGUAUGAUGGUGGCUCAUCGGCUCGUUCAAAGAUCGGUCCACUGUUCCAGGCUAGCCAAUAAAGCAGAAAGCUCCAUGGUUUAUGGUUGAGAUGGAGACAUGUAAACGUUGACAAACCAACAGAUUGAAACUUUUCAGUCGGUGGUGAUUGUGAAAGAGGAAGACGUUGUGCAAAAGCCAAGUUCAGGAAGAACAGUCAAGGGGUAUCAGUAGAUGGAAUGAAGAACAAGUGAAGGAUGGUGACCUUUUAGUGUCCAAAGAAAGCAACUUUGAGUUGCGUUUCUUCAGCCCGACAACUCUAGCUACCGGUAUGAAAGUGGAGAUAAUUGGGAAACUGGGCUAGAAUGGAUUAUAACAUCUUGGAAGUCACAAGAUGACCCUGGAGCACUAUACCGAUAGGCUAUAUUCAAAUCAAACUGCAAUCCCUGAAUUUUUUAUAUACAAAGGUACACGCCGGUAUUGGAGAAGUGAUUAUUCCGGGAUUAAUUUUGUCAGUAACCAGUACAAUACUAAUAUGUGGUAUGGACAGUGUGGUGCCAACAGUUAAUGCAGCCCUGACAAUACCAAGAUGUUCGAGUAUGAUUUACCAGGGUAUGAACUGAAGUCUUUAAAUGAUUGGAAUCAGAGAAAUGGGUCGGAUGGAUGUGUGAGUAAGCGAGUUGAAGUGUCAAAGUGUGGGAAUGGAGAAGGGUUUGUGCAGAUGGUCAAAGUCAAGGAGCCAGACACAUAGAAAGCUGCAAGGUUGGAAAGAAUUAUGAGUGCCAAAAAGUGCAAGCAGCAGUGCUUAAGAAAUUGUUCUUGCACAGCAUAUAUGAGCAUUGACAUUGAAGGGCGCAUUGAUUGCUUGACAUGGUAUGGUGAGUUGCUGGACAUCACAGAGCACACUGCAGUGGGACGAGAUGUUUAUGUUCAUGUAGAUCAUAUGGAGUCAGCUGAGAAUGCCAGAAAAUCAAAAGGCUUCUUUGGAAGGAGGGUGAUGCUGACUGUUCCAAUAUUAUCUGUUCUUCUGCCAUUGGUACUGGUCAUUGGCUUAAGAGGAAAACAGAAGAGGCCGAUGAACUUGAGGAAACGAGGAGACACCCAGAAUUACAGUUUUUCGAUCUGAACACACUAAUAGAUGCCACGGAAAACUUCUCUCCAGUCAAUGAACUUGGCCAAGGUGGUUUUGACUCAGUCUAUAAGGGUUAGUUACCAGACAACAAGAAGAGUGCUGUAAAAAGAUUGUCCAAAAAUUCAGGACAAGGGAUUGAAGAAUUCAAAAAUGAAUAGCUAGACUUCAACACAGGAAUCUUAUGAAACGGUUGGGAUGUUGUAUAAAGGGAGAAGAAAGGAUGUUAAUUUUGGAAUACAUGCCAAACAAUAGCUUGGACUCCUUUCUUUUUGGCAUCACUCUAGCAAAUUUACAUUUGUAUAUGCCUUAUCCAAAGGCAUGAGGAAAUGAAGCUACGACCAAUAAACAUGUACCACAUUUAUUGACAUAAAACCCAAUCUCUUGAUAUAGAUCGUAGAAGAAGCACAUCCUUAGAUUGGAACAAGCGCCUUGAAACUAUCAAUGGGAUUGGUCGCAGACUUCUUUAUCUUCACUAAGACUCGAGACUGUGGAUUAUCCACAGAGAUCUGAAAACCAGCAAUGUUCUUCUAGAUGCUGAAAUAAACCCAAAAAUUUCAUAUUUUGGCAUGGCAAGAAUAUUCCAUGGCGACCAACUCCUGGAGAAGACAAACAGAGUUGUUGGAACGUAGUAAGACUAAAACUUUCACACUCAUACUACUUGACUAAAUCACCUUCCAUAUUCAUUUGACGAUGCAUUUUGGUUGUAACAUUGUGUUUUCUUCACAUGCAGUGGCUAUAUGUCACUAGAGUAUGUUGUAGUUGGAAUUUUUUUCACAAAAUCCGAUGUCUUUAGUUUUGGGAUCAUACUAUUGGAGAUUCUAAGUGGCAAGAAAAGUAGCGGUCUUCAAGAGGAUCAUUAAUUCCAUGAACUUGAUAGGAUAUGUCUGGCAGCUGUGGAGAGAAGACAGAGCCCUAGAAAUGUUGGACUCAUCACUAGAGUCAUAUCAGCCUAAUGAAGUGUUGAGAUGUAUUCAAGUUGGGUUGUUGUAUGUGUGUAGAAGAAGAUUCAAAUGAUCGACCAACCAUGUAAGCUGUUUUUUUCAUGUUAAGUGGUGAAGCAUCUCCACCAUCUCCUCAACAACCAGCAUUCGUCUUCAAAAAGCUUUCUAGCCAUGAUGCUGAUCCAUUGAUUCCAAAAGGAUUAUAUUCUGUGAAUAGCUUGACAAUUAGCUAGUAAAGAGGAAGGUUGGUAAUGAGGCACGUUUUUGCUCACAUAAUUAUUAUCAAAUGUUGUUAGUCUUGUGCUUAGUGCUGUUAAUUUACUGCUUAGUUGUGUCAUGUAAUGUAGAUCCUCUCUGAACUUCUGGAACCUCAUUGCGCAUGCGCAUGGAAAGCUGUAUGAGACCUUGAUUCUUGCAUUGUUUGUGUGAA